rnacentral:ncRNA from 1 species
CCAAGGAGUCUGACAUGUGUGCGGCUCAACGAGCUAGAAAACUCGUAAGGCGCAAGGAAAUUGAUUGGCGGGAUCCCUCGCGGGUGCACCACCGAUUGACCUUAAUCUUCUGAGAAGGGUUCGAGUGAGAGCAUGCCUGUCGGGACCUGAAAGAUGGUGAACUAUGCCUGAGCGGGGCGAAGCCAGAGAAAACUCUAGUAGAGGCCCGCAGCGAUACUAGUGUGCAAAUCGUUUGUCUGACUUAGGUAUAGGGGUGAAAGACUAAUCGAACCGUCGAGUGUCAUGGGUUGCGAAGGGAAACUUGCAACCAUGACGGACUUGUGUAAUUUAUCGCUUUUGAGGAAGGUCAUUUGGCCCAAUCAGACUGGUCCAGUGCUUGG